rnacentral:rRNA from 1 species
AGUGAACGCUGGCGGUAGGCCUAACACAUGCAAGUCGAACGGCAGCACAGUAAGAGCUUGCUCUUACGGGUGGCGAGUGGCGGACGGGUGAGGAAUACAUCGGAAUCUACUUUUUCGUGGGGGAUAACGUAGGGAAACUUACGCUAAUACCGCAUACGACCUACGGGUGAAAGCAGGGGAUCUUCGGACCUUGCGCGAUUGAAUGAGCCGAUGUCGGAUUAGCUAGUUGGCGGGGUAAAGGCCCACCAAGGCGACGAUCCGUAGCUGGUCUGAGAGGAUGAUCAGCCACACUGGAACUGAAACACGGUCCAGACUCCUACGGGAGGCAGCAGUGGGGAAUAUUGGACAAUGGGCGCAAGCCUGAUCCAGCCAUACCGCGUGGGUGAAGAGGGCCUUCGGGUUGUAAAGCCCUUUUGUUGGGAAAGAAAAGCAGCAGGUUAAUACCCCGCUGUUCUGACGGUACCCAAAGAAUAAGCACCGGCUAACUUCGUG